CAGAUCAGGUACAGCAUGGGUUAGAUGCAGAGCAAAGCUCUCUACAUUGCCCCAACAAUGUGCCUUAACCCUG
rnacentral:sRNA from 1 species